UUCUUUUUUUUUUUUUUUUUUUUUUUUU
rnacentral:ribozyme from 1 species